CCUACGGGAGGCAGCAGUGGGGAAUAUUGGGCAAUGGGCGCAAGCCUGACCCAGCAACGCCGCGUGAGUGAAGAAGGCUUUCGGGAUGUAAACUUCUUUUAUUAAGGACGAAACAAAUGACGGUACUCGAUCAAUAAGCCACGGCUAACUACGUGCCAGCAGCCGCGGUAAUACGUAGGUGGCAAGCGUUAUCCGGAUUUACUGGGUGUAAAGGGCGCGUAGGCGGGCUUGCAAGUCAGAUGUGAAAGGCAUGGGCUCAACCCACGGCCUGCAGUUGAAACUGUAGUGCUUGAGUGAUGGAGAGGCAGGCGGAAUUCCGGGUGUAGCGGUGAAAUGCGUAGAUAUAAGGAGGAACACCAGUGGCGAAGGCGGCCUGCUGGACAGUAACUGACGCUGAGGCGCGAAAGCGUGGGGAGCAAACAGGAUUAGAUACCCGAGUAGUC
rnacentral:rRNA from 1 species